rnacentral:piRNA from 1 species
AUAUUUUCUCUACAAUUUUAAGUGUCA